UCCGUAGGUGAACCUGCGGAGGGAUCAUUACAGAGUUCAUGCCCUCCUGGGUAGAUCUCCCACCCUGUGUUAUCGUCACCUUUGUUGCUUUGGCGGGCCGCCCAGGCCCCUCGGCCAGGCUACCGGCUCCGGCUGGUACGCGCCCGCCAGAGGACCCCCAACUCUUGAAUAUCAGUGUCGUCUGAGUACUAUAUAAUAGUUAAAACUUUCAACAACGGAUCUCUUGGUUCUGGCAUCGAUGAAGAACGCAGCGAAAUGCGAUAAGUAAUGUGAAUUGCAGAAUUCAGUGAAUCAUCGAAUCUUUGAACGCACAUUGCGCCCCUUGGUAUUCCGAGGGGCAUGCCUGUUCGAGCGUCAUGACAACCCUCAAGCACUGCUUGGUGUUGGGCCCCGCUGGCAGCGGCGGGCCUUAAAGUCAGUGGCGGUGCCAUCGGGCCCUGAGCGUAGUAAAUCUCCUCGCUACAGGGACUCGGUGGACGCUGGCCAUCAACCCCAACUCUCUCAGUUUGACCUCGGAUCAGGUAGGGAUACCCGCUGAACUUAAGCAUAUCAAUAAGGCGGGAGGGGAAGGUCGGACUGGCCAAGGGCACACAGGGGGGGAUA
rnacentral:rRNA from 1 species